rnacentral:rRNA from 1 species
GACGAACGCUGGCGGCGUGCUUAACACAUGCAAGUCGAACGGAAAGGCCCCUUUUGGGGUACUCGGGUGGCGUACGGGGGAGUAACACGUGCGUAACCUGCCCUUAACUUCGGGAUAACUUCAGGAAACUGGGGCUAAUACCGGAUAGGAAUCCUUGCUGCAUGGUGGGGGUGGGAAAGCUUCGGCGGUUUUGGAUGAGCGCGCGGCCUAUCUGCUUGUUGGUGGGGUAGUGGCUUACCAAGGCUUAGACGGGAAGCCGGCCCGGGUGUGCGACCCGCCUCAUCGGCACUGGGACUCGGCCCCGACUCCUACGGGUGCGAGCAGUGGCGAAUAGUGCUCAAUGGGCGGGAGCGUGAUGCAGCAACGCCGCGGGCGGGAGGGCGGCGUUCGGGUUGUAAUCCGCUUUCAGCAUGGGCGGAGCUGGUGGUGACGGUACCUGCAGAAGAAGCACCGGCUAACUACGUG